ACCCUUUUUUGCCUUGGUAUCCCAUAUUUUAAGAGUUCAUUCAGUCUUAAUGAUUGGUUGAGUUAAUUAGAAUCAGAAUAGUUAAUGGAUUAAUCAUUACAAGGUUGAGGAGCAAAUUCAACCUCUUAUGACAAAUCUAGUUUACAACUUUGAACAAACAACUCUACUACAAAUAUUUUGUCUAAUGUAAUUUCCUAAAACACUUAUAGUGUCAAGAUUACAAGUUAAUAGCUAUUGGAAAUAUUACUGUGUUAUAAACUUUCAAUAUUAUAUGGGAAAGCUUUUUGCCCCCUUUUGAAAUAAGACUUAGAAAUUCACCUUUAUGAUGACAAGAGCAGAAUAAAGAUUUAAUUUAAAUUAUGGCAAUUCUUAAGUAAAUAUUCACUUACUGCCUUUCUUAUCUUGCUGGAGGAAGGUUAAUAACUAAUGGCUGUAUUUCUAAAGCCUUUUCUUUGAGU
rnacentral:lncRNA from 1 species